UAAGUACUCCCUUCGUCCGGAAAUACUUGUCAAAGAAAUGCAUAAAAAUGGAUGUAUCUAGAACUAAAAUAUGUCUAGAUACAUCCAUUCCUGGGACAAGUAUUUCUGGACGGAGGGAGUAUGAU
rfam:Triticum aestivum genome assembly, contig: Triticum_aestivum_CS42_TGACv1_scaffold_129860_2BL